rnacentral:rRNA from 1 species
UACGAAGGGGGCUAGCGUUGUUCGGAAUUACUGGGCGUAAAGCGCACGUAGGCGGUUUGUUAAGUCAGGGGUGAAAUCCCGGGGCUCAACCCCGGAACUGCCUUUGAUACUGGCAUUCUCGAGUCCGGAAGAGGUGAGUGGAAUUCCGAGUGUAGAGGUGAAAUUCGUAGAUAUUCGGAGGAACACCAGUGGCGAAGGCGGCUCACUGGUCCGGAACUGACGCUGAGGUGCGAAAGCGUGGGGAGCAAACAGG